rnacentral:rRNA from 1 species
ACUCCUACGGGAGGCAGCAGUGGGGAAUAUUGGACAAUGGGCGCAAGCCUGAUCCAGCAAUACCUCGUGUGCGAAGAAGGCCCUAGGGUUGUAAAGCACUUUCAAUUGGGACGAAAAGUUUAAGUUUAAUAAACUUAGACCUUGACGGUACCUUUAGAAGAAGCACCGGCUAACUCCGUGCCAGCAGCCGCGGUAAUACG